rnacentral:rRNA from 1 species
AGAUUGAACGCUGGCGGCAUGCCUUACACAUGCAAGUCGAACGGCAGCACGGGAGCAAUCCUGGUGGCGAGUGGCGAACGGGUGAGUAAUACAUCGGAACGUGCCCAGUUGUGGGGGAUAGCCCGGCGAAAGCCGGAUUAAUACCGCAUACGACCUACGGGUGAAAGCGGGGAUUGCAAGACCUCGCGCAAUUGGAGCGGCCGAUGUCAGAUUAGCUAGGUUGGGUAGGGGUAAACGGCUUACCGAAGGCUUACGGAUCAGUAGCUGGUCGUGAGAGGACGACUA